CCUACGGGAGGCAGCAGUAGGGAAUCUUCGGCAAUGGACGGAAGUCUGACCGAGCAACGCCGCGUGAGUGAAGAAGGUUUUCGGAUCGUAAAGCUCUGUUGUAAGAGAAGAACGAGUGUGAGAGUGGAAAGUUCACACUGUGACGGUAUCUUACCAGAAAGGGACGGCUAACUACGUGCCAGCAGCCGCGGUAAUACGUAGGUCCCGAGCGUUAUCCGGAUUUAUUGGGCGUAAAGCGAGCGCAGGCGGUUAGAUAAGUCUGAAGUUAAAGGCUGUGGCUUAACCAUAGUACGCUUUGGAAACUGUUUAACUUGAGUGCAAGAGGGGAGAGUGGAAUUCCAUGUGUAGCGGUGAAAUGCGUAGAUAUAUGGAGGAACACCGGUGGCGAAAGCGGCUCUCUGGCUUGUAACUGACGCUGAGGCUCGAAAGCGUGGGGAGCAAACAGGAUUAGAUACCCCAGUAGUC
rnacentral:rRNA from 1 species